GCCCUUGCUAUCUUUUUGUAUCCUGUUCCUUGUUCGUGACAGGUGAUCAUUUCUUCUCUUAACUUUGUGGACCAUUCUUUUGACUUAGCCAUAUUUCUAACAUGCAGUCAAACUUAACAUUCAACAAACCCCCAGCCAGUUCAGACAUUUCAAGUGUUCCAGCUCAAGCACACCUGGUACAACUAAUGAAGCCCUUGUUUAGUUGCAUCAUAUGUGCUUGACACAACACCUGUUUUGCACAGUUGUGUUGUUGUGAGGGAUUCUAUUCAGAGGGUUGAAAAAUUUUAAGUCUGGAGAAGUGGCAAUGUGGUGAAACCACUUAAAG